GGCGAGUAGAGCAGCGCAAGGGUGAGUAAUACAUGGCUAACAUACCCCAAACAUGAGAAUAACUAUUAGAAAUGAUAGCUAAUGCUCAAUAGUUUCUUAAGACCUCCUGGUCUAAAGAAUAAAGGUAGGGAUCCUUCGGGACCUUCCGGUUUGGGAGUGGGUCAUGGGCUAUCAGCUAGUUGGUGAGGUAAAGGCUCACCAAGGCUAAGACGGCUAGGCGAUCUGAGAGGAUGAUCGCCCACAUCGGGACUGAGACACUGCCCGGACUCCUACGGGAGGCUGCAGUCGAGAAUCUUCCGCAAUGGGCGCAAGCCUGACGGUGCGACGCCGCGUGAGGGACGAAGGCUUUAGGGUCGUAAACCUCUUUCGCUUGUUAAGAAAAGUGUAUGUUAAUAGCAUGCACCCUGACAAAGGCAAGUAAAGAAGCACCGGCUAAAUCCGUGCCAGCAGCCGCGGUAAUACGGAUGGUGCAAGCGUUACUCGGAAUCACUGGGCGUAAAGCGUUCGUAGGUGGUUUAUUAAGUUGGAUGUGUAAUCCCACGGCUUAACCGUGGAACUGCGUUCAAAACUGAUAAACUAGAGAGCAGUAGGGGACAAGGGAACUUCGGGUGGAGCGGUGAAAUGCGUAGAUAUCUGAAGGAACACCGAUGGCGAAAGCACUUGUCUGGGCUGAUUCUGACACUGAGGAACGAAAGCUAGGGUAGCGAACGGGAUUAGAUACCCCCGGUAGUCCUAGCCGUAAACGAUGGAUACUAGCUUGUGGAAUCUUCGGAUCUCACUUGCGUAGUUNAACGCGUUAAGUAUCCCGCCUGGGGGAGUAUGCGCGCAAGCGUAAAACUCAAAGGAAUUGACNGGGGGCUCACACAAGCGGUGG
rnacentral:rRNA from 1 species